UUACAAGUGGUUUCGUCAGACGCACUGAGAGAGGAGUAUUAGUAUACGAGCUUGAGGAAGUAGAAAAGUUUUUGUCCAAAGAAACCCUGACAUCUUCUGCAUCAUGAGCUCUGAAACUAUAACCGUGAAGACCGGUGAAGCGGCAGCUGCUGUUGACAUUGUUGCAGCUCCAAAGAAAGCGGAGUGGAAGUGCCCUCUGAGUGAUCAUCAUGUCCACAGAGAAGAUGUGAGAAAGGUUUGGAAAGAGUGCCAAGAGGAAAGCUUCUGGUACAGAGCCCUUCCCCUCUCUAUGGGGAGCAUGGCUGUCACCGGUGGUCUUAUCUACAACGGUGUCUGGCAAACGUCAAAGAGAUUUGGACCAUUCCCAAAACUCUUAGUUGCUGGGAUCCUUGGUUUCGCAGUGGGAAAAGCAUCUUAUGUAUCGACCUGCCGAAACAAAUUCCAGGAGGUUGGCAUUGAAGGUGGACCGGGAUCUGGACCCUGGGCUAAGGGAGGUUCCUUUGGACCUUUCAAUAAAUCUGGUCAUGGACACAGAUCGUGCCACCAUGUGUGUGAAGAAUGUAAGAAGAAGGCUCAAGAUACACCUGCAGAACAAGUGAAAAGCUAGAGGUAAACAGAUCCUAUCUUGGCAGAGAUAUUUGAAAACAUAUUUCGCGCACAGCUCUGAAGCUAUUAAAAAAAAGGAUCGUCAGAAACACUGAAGGACUGACUGCCAGUGUAUAUCACUUUUUUUAGUUUCUUAAAUGCCAUGAAUACAGCGUAUAUUUUGUCUUAAGUAACUUUGAUAUGUUGCACAUCAUUAUUCAUUCAGGGGAAACCUGACACAAAAUUGCCACCAGGGGUAGCUCUCAUGCUUUUAGUCAAAGAUCCUUUGUAAUGUAUUUCAUCUGACCAUAUACCAUUUUAUUUUCAUAUAGCGAGUGCCUUAAUCAGAUGUAAUCAGUCAUUUGAUUUUAAUUAUCAGCUUAUACUUUUCAACAACUUUCCAAAACAAUAAAUACUCCAUAUAAUAUAAAA